UGACCUCAAAUCAGGUAGGACUACCCGCUGAACUUAAGCAUAUCAAUAAGCGGAGGAAAAGAAACUAACAAGGAUUCCCCUAGUAACUGCGAGUGAAGCGGGAAAAGCUCAAAUUUAAAAUCUGUCAGUCUUUUGGCUGUCCGAGUUGUAAUCUAGAGAAGUGUUAUCCGCGCUGGACCGUGUACAAGUCUCCUGGAAUGGAGCAUCAUAGAGGGUGAGAAUCCCGUCUUUGACACGGACUGCCAGGGCUUUGUGAUGCGCUCUCAAAGAGUCGAGUUGUUUGGGAAUGCAGCUCAAAAUGGGUGGUAAAUUCCAUCUAAAGCUAAAUAUUGGCGAGAGACCGAUAGCGAACAAGUACCGUGAGGGAAAGAUGAAAAGAACUUUGGAAAGAGAGUUAAACAGUACGUGAAAUUGCUGAAAGGGAAACGCUUGAAGUCAGUCGCGUUGUCCAGGGAUCAACCUUGCUUUUGCUUGGUGUACUUUCUGGUUGACGGGUCAGCAUCAAUUUUGACUGUUGGAAAAAGAUCAGGGGAAUGUGGCAUCUUUAGAUGUGUUAUAGCCCUUGGUUGCAUACAAUGGUUGGGAUUGAGGAACUCAACACUCCGCAAGGCCGGGUUAUUAACCAUCU
rnacentral:rRNA from 2 species